GACGAACGCUGGCGGCGGGCUUAACACAUGCAAGUCGAACGGAAAGGCCCUGCUUUUGUGGGGUGCUCGAGUGGCGAACGGGUGAGUAACACGUGAGUAACCUGCUCUUGACUUUGGGAUAACUUCAGGAAACGGGGGCUAAUACCGGAUAGGAGCUCCUGCUGCAUGGUGGGGGUUGGAAAGUUUCGGCGGUUGGGGAUGGACGCGCGGCUUAUCAGCUUGUUGGUGGGGUAGUGGCUUACCAAGGCAUUGACGGGUAGCCGGCCGGAGAGGGUGACCGGCCACCAUGGGACUGAGAUACGGCGCAGUGUCCUACGGGAGGCAGCAGUGGCGAAUAUGGCCCAAUGGGAGGGAGCCUGAUGCGGCGACGCCGCGUGCGUGAUGACGGCCUUCGGGUUGUAAACCGCUUUCGCCUGUGACGACGCGUGAGUGACGGUAAUGGGUAAAGAAGCACCGGCUAACUACGUG
rnacentral:rRNA from 1 species